rnacentral:rRNA from 1 species
UACGUAGGGGGCGAGCGUUAUCCGGAAUUACUGGGCGUAAAGCGCACGCAGGCGGUUCGCCAAGUUUGGAGUGACAGUUGUCGGCUCAACCGACAAAGGACUUCAAAAACUGGUGAACUUGAGGACGAGAGAGGAACAUGGAACUCCAGGUGUAGUAGUGAAAUGCGUAGAUAUCUGGAAGAACGCCAAUGGCGAAGGCAAUGUUCUGGCUCGUUUCUGACGCUCAGGUGCGAAAGCCAGGGGAGCGAACGGGU